GAUGAGCGCGUUGUAGAUAAUCUUCAGAUUGUAAUUCCUCUGCGCGUCCAGUGUCCUAUUCAGCACCACCACUAAGACCUGGGUUUGCGGGUAGAGGAAAAAACCGGCUACAGGGACAGCCCCGAACGCCCGGUCCUCGGCCAGCUGCACUUUCUCCACCGCCACUCGGGAAGCGUGCAGCACUACGUAGCGGGUGGCGUUCCGGCACGCGAUCUCCACGUUGACCUCCCCGGAGAAGGUGAAGUUCUCCAUGAAGGCGGUGAGCAUCAGAUUGUAGUGCAGCGGCUUCAGGUGGCCCGACAGGCGCAGCUGCGUCCACGGCUCCCACGGCUCCCGCUCCUCCUCCGACGGCGGCUGGGCCGACGUGGUCCCCGGACUGGCCACCCCACCCGCCUCGGGCUGCCAGGAGUCCCCGCCUGCGUGGUGGUUGCGCCGGGCCGAUCCAGGGAGGCUCCCGUUGCCGCCGCGCUCCGGAAAGCCUGAGGGGCCACCGUCGGCGCCUGGCGUGGCACUCGCCCCGCACUCGUCGAAGCGCAGGCUGAGCAGCACAGCGAGCAUUGUGACCGCGAGCAAUGCCACGAGGGACACAGCGAAGGCCAGCACAAGCCGCUUGUGUACGGCGAUGUGGCGCUCCGUGGUGCGGGGUCGCACUCCCACUGAGUCUGCCCACGGGUCGGAGAGCCCCCUGCUGCCAGCCCGAAGCGCGGCGUCGUCUUCCCCCAUCGCGGCUGCGAAGGCGGCGGCGUUCGGUCCUCUGGGUGGAAUGUGCUCGCAGCAGCAGUGACGGCGGCCACAGCACGGGAGGCACCCGAGCCAUACACCCUGCAGCUGGAGAGAAAAGGAUGGCCGAGGUGGGAGAGACUAGAGUGAACCAGCAGGAGGAAGUCCCAGGGCCGCGAAGCUACGACGGAGAUCCGUCCUGGAAAAGCCUUCUCCACCCUGGGCACUUUAAGCGGCGGUGGCGGCAAACGGCAGGAGGUUGCAGACCCGACAGCGAGACUCCCUCAUUCCAGUCUUGCUCUGCCCUCCGGAGAUGACAAGUGAGAAAGAAGUGUCCGGCCGGGCCAUCCCCUUCAGAGAAGCAACCACUUCACAAGAAGAUUCUGAAGUUGGCCAUUUUUGAUCCCAGAACAGUUUCUCAUAGAUUAGAAAUAUUGGAGUCUACACAAAAAUCGAUAUUCAUUUACAAGAUCAUCACUAAACUUAUCUUGCAUAACGUCUCUGCCAGCCACAUUAACUGCCUGCAGAAAAGUUUGUUAUGACUGCCUGGUUUUGUAAAGUCCAGACAACUUUACACUAAGCUGAAUAAUGUUCAUUUACUCAAAAGCUAGUCUAAAAUUGUAGAGUUAAUGAACACUAAACCAAAGUUAGUGCUUUAACUGAAAGAUAAUUUACUGUACCCUUUGGAGUCCAGUCCGGUACCAUCAAGAUCUGGGAAAAUACAACUGUUACCAAGAAUAACUGUAAAAUGUGCUGGGAAUGCAAUGUCCUGAGAUAAGGAAGAACUGCCUGAAACAGCCUGGAUCUUAUUCCUGUACUUCCUAGGGAAUGUAACAUCUCAAGUUAAAGAGGAACUGCCCGGAACAGCCCGGGGAUUGUUCCUCUCUCCUGAGAAGGAAGAUUACCUCCAAAGCUCAUCCACUGAGUCACACUGCCCCUGUGGUGGAGGGCGGGCUGCCUUUCCAGGUUCCUCAGCUGUGGUGUAACUGAAGCAGGCACAAUCAAGACUCCAUCUGCUCGAGGCAGCUUUCUCGAACCUUGGGGAACCUACUCACAAUGGAUCACAGGCUUCUUUUGUUUUGUUUCUUGCUGCCUAUCUGUAAGUAAUUAACUUGCUUCAUGUAACGUGUUGCAUAUGAGUGUGUUCUGUCUCAUAGACUCAGGGAAUUGGUAACACUGCAGCUGAGGACGCAGUGGACAGAAGUGUUCAGACUCCUGUUCCUUGUGGUUGACACAGUGAUGAUGAUCUCUUCUGUCCUCCACAGAGUGGAAGUCCUCUCUUGGGAUUGGUUAUUGGUGAAACCACUUCGCAAUUUAUUAAGAUGGCAAAAGCUUACGGAGGGACAGAUUUGAGGGGAAGAUCAAGAUUUUUCUGUCAGUAUUGCAAAUAGUCAAGAAUAUGUGGUCCAAGAAGUGAUCAUUAUCUUUGGCAUUGUGCAAGUCAUUAGUGACCUUCACAUGAACAGUCUCAGUGGAGUGUUGGAGGAAAAAGCCUAACUGAAGAAGGUUCAAGAGUGAAUGGAAAAAGAGCAGUAGUAUGUGGAGAGUACAGACAAGUAUUUCCAGGAGCCUUUCUGUAAAGAGUGGUAGAGAAUGGGACAUCAUUUUUGGAUGGGGGAAGAGUUAUUUAUAGCAUGUUCAUAUGCUAAUGGAAGUGAUCUACUCAUGGGGAAAAUCUUGAUGAUGCAAGAAAGAAAGGGAUUUGUUGGAAUCUUGUCCUAUAACGGGUGAGAGGGGAUGGGUUCUAGAAGAAAAGGCAUGGGUCUUUGUUUGAGAUCAGGCAAUUCAUCUGUAGGAACCAGUAGGAAGAUGGUUAAGUGGGUACCUGUGGUAGUGGAUGUUUGUGAACAUUCUUUUCUUUUCCAUUGUUUCUAUUUUCUCAAUAAAGUGGGAAGCAAAAAUCAGCUGAGUGAAGAUGAGGAAGAAGGUGUUAAAGGUUUGAAGAAAAAAGGAAAAGGAUAUACUAAUCUAAGAGGACAAGUAAGUAGAACAUAGAUAAUGAAAAUGCUGGCCCUUAGGACUGUUGGGCCUAAAUGCUCAUAUUAUAUUGGUAGUCACAAAUUUGAACUUUCUCUAGAGCCAAUUUUUGCAUGUGUGUGCAGGCCUGGAGUAGUUGGAGAGUUGGAUUUAAUAGAAUUGAGGGUCAAGCAACUACAACCAGGGAAGAGUGGGACAAGGGAGAUAAAGGAUAUUGGCAGGGGAGCAAUUAUAAACAUGGACCAUGAUCAAAACUGGACAGGAAGGAAAAUAGAGAUAAGAGGGGUGGAAGGUUAAAAAUAGUGAAAAUGAGAUAGAAUGAAUAGGUUGUAGGUCCCUGUAAAGUUGAAGAAGUAUUAUUAUGCAGUACUCGUUAUUGAAAUGAGGUCACUAUGCUUAAGGCACAGUGAAUCCUAGAAAAUAGUGGUUUUGUUUCUCAUUAGGCAAUACAUUCCUCCUUGCUCCAGAAUGCAACAUACAUGUAUCCUUUUCUGUACUAUUUUUUAUUAAGAAUUCAUACUUAAUUCCACUGACUGCCACUCAAUUUUAAUGUACAGUAGGGAAUUCCUGUACUAUGUAUUAUGAAUCCAUUCCUUUGAAUUUCAUUUAUAAUACUUCAUGACUGACACCUGGCUUUCCACCAAGACUCAAUUUUCAUAGCAAGCCUCAUCAUCAUAAGCCCCCAAAUUAACAGGAUGAGGAGGAAGAAUUGGCAGGCUAAAGAAGAUGAUUAUAUCAAUUAAUGCAGAAAAAGCAUUUGAUAAAAUCCAAUAUUCAUUUGUAAUUAAAAACUCUCAGCAAGUUAGGGAUAGGAAUUACUUCAACUUAAUGAAGAGUGUCUUUAAAAACCUUAUUUUCAUCAGUUAUAACAAAUGUACCACUCUGGUGGUGAAUGUUGCUAAGGAGGGAAGCUAUACAUGUGUGGGGAAAGGAGAU
rnacentral:lncRNA from 1 species